GACGAACGCUGGCGGCGUGCUUAACACAUGCAAGUCGAGCGGUAAGGCCCUUUCGGGGGUACACGAGCGGCGAACGGGUGAGUAACACGUGGGUGACCUGCCCUCAGCUCUGGGAUAAGCCUGGGAAACCGGGUCUAAUACUGGAUAUGACUCCAUGACGCAUGUUGUGGGGUGGAAAGCCUUGUGCGGCUGAGGAUGGGCCCGCGGCCUAUCAGCUUGUUGGUGGGGUGANGGGCCUACCAAGGCGACGACGGGUAGCCGGCCUGAGAGGGCGACCGGCCAUACUGGGACUGAGACACGGCCCAGACUCCUACGGGAGGCAGCAGUGGGGAAUCUUGCGCAAUGGGCGAAAGCCUGACGCAGCGACGCCGCGUGAGGGAUGACGGCC
rnacentral:rRNA from 1 species